rnacentral:rRNA from 1 species
GACGAACGCUGGCGGCGUGCUUAACACAUGCAAGUCGAACGGAAAGGCCCUGCUUUUGUGGGGUGCUCGAGUGGCGAACGGGUGAGUAACACGUGAGUAACCUGCCCUUGACUUUGGGAUAACUUCAGGAAACUGGGGCUAAUACCGGAUAGGAGCUCCUGCUGCAUGGUGGGGGUUGGAAAGUUUCGGCGGUUGGGGAUGGACCCGCGGCUUAUCAGCUUGUUGGUGGGGUAGUGGCUUACCAAGGCUUUGACGGGUAGCCGGCCUGAGAGGGUGACCGGCCACAUUGGGACUGAGAUACGGCCCAGACUCCUACGGGAGGCAGCAGUGGGGAAUAUUGCACAAUGGGCGGAAGCCUGAUGCAGCAACGCCGCGUGCGGGAUGACGGCCUUCGGGUUGUAGACCGCUUUCGCCUGUGACGAAGCGUGAGUGACGGUAAUGGGUAAAGAAGCACCGGCUAACUACGUG